rnacentral:lncRNA from 1 species
UGUAAUAUUAAUGAAUGAAGGGUCAAGCUGUUUGCAGAACAUAGAUAAUAGCAUAUAUUAUAUUAACAUUAGAAAUAUUCUGAAUAUGUACAAUAGACAUUAGUAUGAUGUCGAGUUGAACGAUUCGCACAUACUAAGUAAUGGAAUAUAAGCAAAAUAAUAUACUACAUGCUGCAGCAUCAUAUUUAGAGAACACUGCAGUUUGCCUGGCCAUAGGUAAUCUUUGUCACGAAAGAAAGUAGAGCAUAAGGAGAGUCAUUCAUUAGAUUGUCCCUAUCAUAAGCAAAAGCGACAAAAUGGUGUGAGGGAGUUCCUGCAAUUAGACAUUUUAAAGUAUGUGAGAAAGUGGAAAUAUGGGAAGAGAUAAUUGAAUAUUGUGCUGAAAUUGAAAGAAAUGCAUGGAAUCAGCAUCAGAGCGAUAGAUUUGCUGUUUAAUCUGUUUGAGGUUAGGCAGUAGACAGAAACCUUGUUCACAUUUUUUGGUGUUGAUAAGUCUGUAUUAUAGUGUAUGACAUCAUACGAAAGUAGAAUAAGAAAAAUGUAGACGAAUGUAUGUGUGCAAGUUAUGGAGGAAAACAUGUAAGUAGGCUUAUAUUGGAGGGUGAAGUUAUAAACAUUAACGAAUCAGAAAAAGGAGGCUACAAUUUUAUGCAAUCACAAACACACAGGAGACAUAAGGAUUUCUGUCAGUGGGCCCAGGUUUUGUAGUUGUUGAUAGAGUUACUUUGUUAUUUUUUAUUUCAUCAAAGAUGUGCCAAUUUACGAUAUGAUUUUACGUACCUUCACGAAAAUUAAGAUUAUAGAUUUUUCAAAAGGAGGCAUCCAAACUGCAGUAGAGAUUAGAAUUUCACUACAAAGAGGAACCUCCACAAUCCUUCCUGUCAUCCUCCUUUUUGAAGGAACAAAGAGG